UAGAGGAAGUAAAAGUCGUAACAAGGUUUUCCGUAGGUGAACCUGCGGAAGGAUCAUUAAAUGAAGCAACCUAGGAGCCUGAGAUAUGGCCACCGGGCACACCUUCCACCCUUUGUUUAUCACACUUUGUUGCUUUGGCAGGCCUGCCUUCGGGCUGCUGGCUCCGGCCGGCGAGCGCCUGCCAGAGGACCCAAACUCUGUUUGUCUGUAACGUCUGAGUACUAUAUAAUAGUUAAAACUUUCAACAACGGAUCUCUUGGUUCUGGCAUCGAUGAAGAACGCAGCGAAAUGCGAUAAGUAAUGUGAAUUGCAGAAUUCAGUGAAUCAUCGAAUCUUUGAACGCACAUUGCGCCCCCUGGUAUUCCGGGGGGCAUGCCUGUCCGAGCGUCAUUACAACCCUCAAGCCUAGCUUGGUGUUGGGCUCCGCCGCCUGGCGGGCCCUAAAGUCAGUGGCGGUGCCGUCCAGCUCCGAGCGUAGUAACUCUUCUCGCUCUGGAGGCCUGGGCGCGUGCUUGCCAGCAACCCCCCAAUUUUAUCAGGUUGACCUCGGAUCAGGUAGGGAUACCCGCUGAACUUAAGCAUAUCA
rnacentral:rRNA from 1 species